CGCUAUUUGCUGCUCCUUCUCACACUUCAUCCUUCUCCCAGGAUCAGUGAUUUAUUAAACAAACUACAGAAGCUAAGAAUAAAGUUGGAAACAUAAAACAGAAGGGACGAAGCAGUAAGGAGUUCAGAUAAUCUGGUGAGAGGAUCCUCAACUCAGUUCAGGGAAUGAAUUUCAUCCCUGGGAAGGAAACUGCCAAAAAGAAAGGAACUAUCCUUAUCUUAGAUUUCAAGGUGGACUAAGAGGUGAACAAAAUAAAGACAUAGACAGCAUUAUCAGACCCAGCAGGCGAUUCCAGCCAGGAUCAUCCUAAGGGUGAAUAUGCUGAAGUCCAUGUUAGAUGCUGAUUAAUCCUGGGUGACAGCCAGGACGGCUUAGCUGUGAGGAAAUGAACUCCUGGGGGUGGGUGGCCAAGAGGAGCCCAGCACUGGAGGAUAAAGGUAUAUGUUUCCCCACAUUAAAGGUCAA